rnacentral:lncRNA from 1 species
GGGGCUAUCAGUCCAACUCCUCAGUUAAUAGCCAGGGAAACAGAAGCCCAGGGAGAUAAAGACGGUGGCAGAGGAGGAAUUCUUUCUUAGCAGAUCUUCCAUUCCUAAUCCAGGAUCAUUUCCAGGGCUCCCAGGUUCUCAAGAUGCUUGAAUCCUGGGACAAACACAGAGGAAGGAGCUCCUAAGGAUGGGGGCAGUGGUGAGGAAACAGGCCACUGAGACAGUGAUGGUGUUUGUAGGCAAAGAAGCUACUUGUAUUUGCCAACCACACCAGGAGGCCAGGAGAAAUCUUUUGCCACAUUUGGAGAAAGGAUUGAAGAGAAAUGAGAGCCUGGAUGUGAAGAAAACAUUAGGAAGCUGCAGCAGUAACCUAUGUGAGAAAUUAAGAGAACCUAAAUCAGAUCCGUUGGCCAUCAAGAUUUCACUCAUUUUGAGACCUAGAGAUUGGUGCUCCUGGAGCUGUGAAAUGCGUGGCCUCUGUAGCCCUGUCAAGAGAAGCUAUGCUGUACCCUCAACACUCUGCCUAGAGAUUUCUUCCAUGAAAUAUCCUAGUUCACAUCUGCCUCCUGCAAACUACUAGGACAUGGACACUGCUCAGCCAAG